rnacentral:rRNA from 1 species
GAUGAACGCUGGCGGCGUGCCUAAUACAUGCAAGUCGAGCGAACGGACAAGAAGCUUGCUUCUCUGAUGUUAGCGGCGGACGGGUGAGUAACACGUGGAUAACCUACCUAUAAGACUGGGAUAACUUCGGGAAACCGGAGCUAAUACCGGAUAAUAUUUUGAACCGCAUGGUUCAAAAGUGAAAGACGGUCUUGCUGUCACUUAUAGAUGGAUCCGCGCUGCAUUAGCUAGUUGGUAAGGUAACGGCUUACCAAGGCAACGAUGCAUAGCCGACCUGAGAGGGUGAUCGGUCACACUGGAACUGAGACACGGUCCAGACUCCUACGGGAGGCAGCAGUAGGGAAUCUUCCGCAAUGGGCGAAAGCCUGACGGAGCAACGCCGCGUGAGUGAUGAAGGUCUUCGGAUCGUAAAACUCUGUUAUUAGGGAAGAACAUAUGUGUAAGUAACUGUGCACAUCUUGACGGUACCUAAUCAGAAAGCCACGGCUAACUACGUG